GGGACAAUGAGCUUUGGUAUUUGUGGUUUAAGGCGUGAAUGAAUGAAGGAGCAAGCAGUAAGCCCCGACAGCAAGGCCACCACAGCCCUCGCCCCACAGGGACGCCUGAGCAAGGACCCAAGCAGGGGACAAGCAGGCUCACCCCGCCCUUGCGGGGCUGACCACGAGGCCCCGUCCGGUGGAACACGCCAUGACGCUUCAGGAGGCUCAUGUAGCUGGCGCCGUAUGGGACAGCGGGGGAGAGAGAAAAUGCACAGCCCAGGGAAUGUGGAGACAGGCCCAGCGCCAGGCAUGGGGGCCGGAAGGAGCAGCCGGGGAGCAGGGGGCAGGGCCUGGAGUCCCGCCUUGCAGGUCAGAGAUCUGAACCUGCCCCAGCCCCAGGACUCUGAGUGCAGCAAGAGGGGAGCCGGGCUGGAGAGUGGGGAGCACGGAGACUGUGGCCUGGAUGGUGCCAGAGCAAACAGGAGAGAGGCUGCCCAACGCAGAGGCUGCAGCACAGACCAGAGGGUCCCGGGGCUGACUGGGUGGGGGCAGCUCCCAGCGAGAGGCCCCUGGGAUUUGGGUAAGUAGAGGCACAUGCAGACUCUGGCCACAGGGCACCUCGCGCACGAGGGGAGUUCACCACACAAGCUGAGCGGAGGGCGGACGCAGGAGAGCAGCGGUUUCUCGGAAGCCAAGGGCGGUCAUGGAGCCCCACGCCACAGCGCUUCCCACGGGGCCACACCAUCCGGUCUGCGGAGGGGGCUGCAUUGCCGGGAAGGACCAUCUGAUUCUGGAUUCCAGCCUCACCCUGGGCCACCGCUGAGUGUCCCAAGUGGCCCCUUAGCCCCCAGGGCCAGGCGGCAUCCCAAUCCCCUAGGGAUGUCUGUGCUCAGAAUGUGGCACACACGCCCCGGCAGGGCCAUCCUCCUCCUCCUGCACCCGCCACAGCCGUGGAUUCGGGGUCUCUAUCGUGGGCAGAAAUUCACACAGUCAAGGUGAGGGUCCCAGGAGCAGCUGUGACCAGGCCCCGGCUGCCAGGGAGAGGGGGUCUUCAGCCGACGGGGCAGACACCCUGAGAUGGACCCUUGUCCAGGGGAGGGCCCUGCCACCCACAAUUCCUUGGCAUUCCUGCACCAGCAGGACGGGCUGAGGGAGGCGCCUCACCAGUGCCAGCGCCCAGCAUCACUGUGCCCCGGUGGAGGGGGAGGCCCUUCCGAGCCUGGGCCUGGGUGUGGAUGAGGGCAGGUCUCUCACCUCUCUGACCUCAGCUUCCUCAACUGGGAAGGGGGGCCACAGCACCCCCUUAGGGGUGAUGAGGAAGUGGGAGCUCAGGGAGGACCCCGGGCAGGGCUGCCUCCUCACCUCUCUUCGGCCUUUGGACACUGGAGCUCAGAGGACCAAGUGAAUGAAUGAAUGACUCGAUCAAUCAACUGAUCCAUGAAUCCAUGGACCCCUGAACAGCUGGACAGCUGGGCUGUGGGCAGGACAGGGGACUCUGGCUGAAGCCGCGUUCAUAUGUGUUCAGCUUUAGGCCUCCACUGUGCCCGGACCAGCGGCCCACUCAGUGAGUCGAGUGUGCACCUGGCACCCCUCUUUCUGGAAAUCCACGAACAAUGGGCUCCCAGCAGAGGACUGAGGCUGAGCAGGCCACUUCCCUGGAGCUGACCCCACAGCUGUGUAGGUACAGGGUGGCCGUGAACACUUAGGGCUCUCUCGGGCUGUGCGCUUCUUGUUCACUGCAAGGAGCAGGGUGUUGGCUCCUGACCAAGCCCUGUCACUGCUGCCCAGCCACACGUGGGGCCCCUUCACCCACCCCUGACCACCUCAUGCAGGUGAAGCCACUGUGGAAACAGCCUGGCAGUCCCUUGAAAAAUGAAGUCAUAAACCCCAGCAAUUGCACUCCUGGGCCUCUGACAGAGCUUGCACGUCCCCUCCAAAGCUCGUGUUAAGCUGUGAGCCCCAGUGCCGGAGGUGGGGCCUGGUGUGUUUGGGUUCUGGGGGUGGAUCCCUCAUGGCUGGGUGCCAUGAACCCACUCACCACAGUGAGUUCUCACGAGAUCUGGUUGUUGAGAAGUGUGUCAUACCUCCCCCACAACUCUCUGUCUUUUGUUCCGGCUCUGGCAAUGUAACAAGCCUGCUCCUCCUUCGCCUUCUGCCAUGACUGUAAGCUUUCUGAGGGCUGACCAGAAGCCCAGCAGAUGCCAGCACCAUGCUUCCUAUACAGCCUGCAGAACCGUGAGCCAGCUAAACCUCUCCUCAUAAAUCACCGAGCCCCAGGUUUAUCUUUACAGCAAUGCAAGACCUGACUAAUACAGCACCAGCUCCCCAAAAUAAAAAGAAAUAUUCAAACAAAUAAGCGCACAGAAGUGUUCCCAGCAGCACUAUUCACAGCAGCCAAAAGGCGGAGGAGCCACAGGCUUGUCAGCUGAUGACAGAUAAAGAAAGCAUGGCCUGUCAUCCCAGCACUUUGGGAGGCCGAGGUGGGUGGAUCACCUGAGGUUGGGAGUUCAAGACCAGCCUGGCCAACAUGGUGAAACCCAGUCUCUACUAAAAAUAUAAAAAUUAGCUGGGUGUGAUGAUGAGCGCCUGUAGUCCCAGCUACUUGGAAGGCUGAGGAACAAGAAUCGCUUGAACCCGGGAGGCAGAGGUCGCA
rnacentral:lncRNA from 1 species